UUUUUUUUCCACAGGGAUUUUCCUGACUUUUUUUUUUCCCCCUUCUCUUUUUAUAGAGCUUUUGGAGAUUUAUGACCUGAUCCAAACAGAUCCUAGAUAAAGGAACCAAGUUCAGCUGUUCUGGAUAAUUACACAGAGAGGUAACCAUGGCAACAUCUGUAGGCAUCAGGGCACACCUGUGUUGGUUUGAGUUUGGAGGAGGAAGACGAGGACGACGGAGAGGAAAGAGCUUCAUUAAGUCCAUCAGAAUACUUGAGUGCAGCAUUUAAGGCCUGACUCGCACAUCCUCGAGAGCAGGGUUGUUCACGGGCCUGGAAAAGGAAGCUUCGAACUCGUGACCUGCUGUGGUCAGAUUUCUGUAGUGCCCACUUAAGAGUGCAGAUUGAAGCAGCAGGUUUUUGUUUGUUUGAUUUUUAAGUUAAAAAAAAGAAAAGAAAUGAAAAGAAAAAAAAAGCAAGAAUGCGAAA